UACGUAGGGUGCGAGCGUUGUCCGGAAUUAUUGGGCGUAAAGGGCUCGUAGGCGGUUUGUCGCGUCGGGAGUGAAAUCCACUGGCUUAACUGGUGGCUUGCUUUCGAUACGGGCAGACUGGAGGUAUGCAGGGGAGAACGGAAUUCCUGGUGUAGCGGUGAAAUGCGCAGAUAUCAGGAGGAACACCCGUGGCUAAGGCGGCUCUCUAGUACGGUACUGACGCUGAGACGCGAAAGCGUGGGGAGCGAACAGG
rnacentral:rRNA from 1 species